CCUCUGCGUGGUGUUUGUUUUCCACUCUUAUGACGGGGACGCUGCCGUAAUAAUUCUGCAGUUUGCUGGACAUAUGAGGCGCAGAGCAGCUGCAGGAAGAUGCGCUGCAGGAUGAGGUUUACAGAGUUCUCCGUGAAAGAGAAAGGACACAUGAAAGGAAGAGCGGUUGAACUUGAUUUUCAGAAGUGUAAUGAACACUCCUGUACUGGAAAACACAAAAAGUAGCACGAUACGGAGGUUUCUGAGGUGCUCCAUGAAGCUUUGCACUGACAGUAACCGUGCCCACUUAAAUCUCUACUACAAUUUAGCA